rnacentral:rRNA from 1 species
UACGUAGGGUGCAAGCGUUGUCCGGAAUUAUUGGGCGUAAAGAGCUCGUAGGCGGUUUGUCGCGUCUGCUGUGAAAACUCGGGGCUCAACUCCGAGCUUGCAGUGGGUACGGGCAGACUAGAGUGCGGUAGGGGAGACUGGAAUUCCCGGUGUAGCGGUGAAAUGCGCAGAUAUCGGGAAGAACACCCGUGGCGAAGGCGGCUCUCUGGGACGGUACUGACGCUGAGACGCGAAAGCGUGGGGAGCGAACAGG